UACGGGGGGGGCAAGCGUUGUUCGGAAUUACUGGGCGUAAAGGGCGCGUAGGCGGCCUGCUAAGUCGGAUGUGAAAUCCCUCGGCUCAACCGAGGAACUGCAUCCGAUACUGGCGGGCUUGAAUCCGGGAGAGGGAUGUGGAAUUCCAGGUGUAGCGGUGAAAUGCGUAGAUAUCUGGAGGAAUACCGAUGGCGAAGGCAGCCCCCUGGGAUAACACUGACGCUCAUGCACGAAAGCGUGGGGAGCAAACAGG
rnacentral:rRNA from 1 species